GACAGAGGGUGCAAACGUUGCUCGGAUUUACUGGGCGUAAAGCGCGUGUAGGCGGGCGACUAAGUCGGAUGUGAAAUCCCUGGGCUCAACCUAGGAACUGCAUUCGAAACUGGUCACCUAGAGUGAUGGAGAGGAAAGCGGAAUUCCCGGUGUAGAGGUGAAAUUCGUAGAUAUCGGGAGGAACACCUGUGGCGAAGGCGGCCAUCUGGACAACUACUGACACUGAGACGCGAAAGCGUGGGUAGCAAACAGG
rnacentral:rRNA from 1 species